UGUAAUGAGUGAAAACAAUGUGACAGACAUUUGUGGGUUUUGAGUGGAGAGAUGAGAAGAUGGGUAGUCCCGCAGUUGUAGUAGGCCUUCCUUCUCCUCCAAAUCUUAACGGCUCUCUCUCUCCUCCAAUUCCCACAACUUCCAUAAGCAGCUCGAAGAAAAAGGAUGGAAUUGGAGAGCUAAUGGUAAGGAAGCAGACAGGGGAUGGUGGGUACAAGUGGCGUUUGGUGAUUGCUUAUGACGGCACUCGUUAUGCAGGAUGGCAAUACCAGAGUUCACCGCCUACAAUACAGUGCUUUGUGGAGAAUGCUAUAAUGAGCGCAACGAAGCUGGAAAGGAAGGAUCUUCAUUUCGUUGGUGCAAGUAGGACGGAUAAAGGAGUACAUGCCUGGGGUCAGGUUGCACACUUUGUCACACCUUUCAACUAUGACAGCAUUGAAAGCAUUCAUGCUGCUCUUAACGGUCUUCUUCCUGAUGAUAUCCGAGUUAGGGAGAUCAGCCCUGCAGUGCCUGAAUUCCAUGCUCGUUUUUCAGCGAAAAGCAAGAUUUAUCAUUACAAAAUAUAUAACGACACAUUCAUGGAUCCAUUUCAGCGUCACUAUGCUUACCAUAGUGCUCAUAAGCUAAACGCCGCUGUUAUGCAAGAAGCUGCAAAGUAUUUUAUUGGAAAACAUGAUUUCUCUGCUUUUGUCAAUGCCUCCCAGAAGGAAAGAGUGCGUGAUCCAGUCAAGGAUAUAUUCCGUUUUGAUGUCAUUGAAAUGGGAGCUCUUUUGCAGCUAGAAGUUGAAGGCUCUGGCUUCUUAUACAGACAAGUCCGGAACAUGGUUGCUCUGCUGAUUCAAAUUGGAAGGGAAGCGCUUCCUCCUGAUAUUGUUCCCAAGAUAUUGGCAACACGAGAUCGGAGGGUGCUUGCCAAAUAUACCAUGUUUACUCCACCUCAUGGGCUUUGUCUUGUGACGGUCAAGUAUAACGAGGAGCAUCUACGGCUUCCAUCCAGUUGCUCCACAACCAGUUUUGGUAGGCAUUAUACUAUCGGCUCAUGCAUUUUACAAGGUGCACAAAGAGUUAUGUGCUUGUAGCUGGUUGUUGAUCAAAAGUAGCUAAUAUAUCAGAGUCAUGGUCUUCAUCAAUCACUUCAGUGAUUUCUCUCCCAUGACGCUUGCUAUCUUCAAAUUUCCAACUGCUCCCAAAAGAUAUCUCACCAUCGAGGUGGAAAACGCUGAUCAGAAUCCGGAGCUUCCUUAACUAUUUUAUCCGCGAUUGAAAUUUCAGUCGUGUCACAAUUGUGUGCAUGAGGCGACGAUGAGUGGGAGUGGCUCCUUGAAAUGGAUCUGCUCUUGGAAAGUCUCUGUCUUGCUUUCUUGUGCCAGUUUUGGAGGCCUUCAACUACAGAUUCAGUAAACACUGCUCUCCUCAUGCCAGAACCCAUCUAUCAAGUAAACCAACCAUUAAUGAAAAGGAAAAACAAAAAAGAAGAAGAAAUGUCAUUGAUUUUGAAAUUAUUAUCCAUUACUCUCUGUAUCUCAAUUCUUUCAAUCUCAUAUAUAUCCACAUUUUCUUAAGAGAAGGACCUUCAGAUGACGUUCCACAUUUCACUGUAAAAUUAAUUGACAAUAUGAAAGGGAACUAAACUCUUUAUGAUCGCA